AUUGAACGCUGGCGGCAUGCCUUACACAUGCAAGUCGAACGGUAACAGGUCUUCGGAUGCUGACGAGUGGCGAACGGGUGAGUAAUACAUCGGAACGUGCCUAGUAGUGGGGGAUAACUACUCGAAAGAGUGGCUAAUACCGCAUGAGAUCUACGGAUGAAAGCAGGGGAUCGCAAGACCUUGUGCUACUAGAGCGGCCGAUGGCAGAUUAGGUAGUUGGUGGGAUAAAAGCUUACCAAGCCGACGAUCUGUAGCUGGUCUGAGAGGACGAUCAGCCACACUGGGACUGAGAAACGGCCCAGACUCCUACGGGAGGCAGCAGUGGGGAAUUUUGGACAAUGGGCGAAAGCCUGAUCCAGCAAUGCCGCGUGCAGGAUGAAGGCCUUCGGGUUGUAAACUGCUUUUGUACGGAACGAAAAGCCCCGGGUUAAUACCCUGGGGUCAUGACGGUACCGUAAGAAUAAGCACCGGCUAACUACGUGCCAGCCGCCGCCGUAA
rnacentral:rRNA from 1 species